GCUGUGCCAGGCUCCACUGGCAAGAUGCUUUUUGUCACCUGGAUGUGAGAUGGUCAGUUCUGGGACAGUCACAGCAUCUUUCUGGUUUAUGCUGUGUCAGC
ensembl:miRNA gga-mir-1683 gga-mir-1683